UACGAAGGGGGCUAGCGUUGCUCGGAAUCACUGGGCGUAAAGCGCACGUAGGCGGAUCUUUAAGUCAGGGGUGAAAUCCUGGAGCUCAACUCCAGAACUGCCUUUGAUACUGGGAUCUCGAGUCCGGGAGAGGUGAGUGGAACUGCGAGUGUAGAGGUGAAAUUCGUAGAUAUUCGCAAGAACACCAGUGGCGAAGGCGGCUCACUGGCCCGGUACUGACGCUGAGGUGCGAAAGCGUGGGGAGCAAACAGG
rnacentral:rRNA from 1 species